rnacentral:rRNA from 1 species
GACGAACGCUGGCGGCGUGCUUAACACAUGCAAGUCGAACGGAAAGGCCCUGCUUUUGUGGGGUUCUCGAGUGGCGAACGGGUGCGUAACACGUGAGUAACCUGCUCUUCACUUUGGGAUAACUUCAGGAAACUGGGGCUACUACCGGAUAGGAGCUCCUGUUCCAUGGUGGGGGUUGGAACUUUUCUGCGGUUGGGGAUGGACUCGCGGCUUAUCAGCUUGUUGGUGGGGUAGUGGCUUACCAAGGCUUUGACGGGUCGCCGGCCUGAGAGGGUGACCGGCCACAUGGGGACUGAGAGACGGAGCAGAGUGGUACGGGAGGCAGCAGUGGGGAAUAUUGCACAAUGGGCGGAAGUCUGAUGAGGCAACGCCGCGUGCGGGAUGACGGCCUUCGGGGUGUAAAAAGCUUUCGCCUGUGACGAAGCGUGAGUGACGGUAAUGAGUAAAGAAGCACCGGCUAACUACGUG